rnacentral:rRNA from 1 species
GAUGAACGCUGGCGGCGUGCCUAAUACAUGCAAGUCGAGCGAACGGACGAGAAGCUUGCUUCUCUGAUGUUAGCGGCGGACGGGUGAGUAACACGUGGAUAACCUACCUAUAAGACUGGGAUAACUUCGGGAAACCGGAGCUAAUACCGGAUAAUAUUUUGAACCGCAUGGUUCAAAAGUGAAAGACGGUCUUGCUGUCACUUAUAGAUGGAUCCGCGCUGCAUUAGCUAGUUGGUAAGGUAACGGCUUACCAAGGCAACGAUGCAUAGCCGACCUGAGAGGGGGAUCGGCCACACUGGAACGGAGACACGGUCCAGACUCCUACGGGAGGCAGCAGUAGGGAAUCUUCCGCAAUGGGCGAAAGCCUGACGGAGCAACGCCGCGUGAGUGAUGAAGGUCUUCGGAUCGUAAAACUCUGUUAUUAGGGAAGAACAGAUGUGUAAGUAACUGUGCACAUCUUGACGGUACCUAAUCAGAAAGCCACGGCUAACUACGUG